ensembl:lncRNA
GGUGAGCCCUGCAGCCAAAAUGGAGAACUCAGAAGUGAAUCAGAGCAUUGCGGUCAGCUCAGGGGUGGCAGAAGGUACCUAGCAACGUCAUAUCCAGCCCAGGAACCUCUUCACCCAGCUGAGGAACCAGGGAGGAGCUGGACAUAACAAAACCAUCUUCUUCUGCAGGCUGUUUUCAGAGGCGUAUUUAUAGCAGCUGUCUAAAACCUGCCUUCAGAUACAGGCAGUGCACAUAGAAAAUAUGUCCUUUUCUUUUGUUCUGAUCCAGUUAUUUUAACAUGGUAAUAUGACACACAUGCAAAAAGUUUUUUUUUAAUUUUAAUUUUAAUUAAUUUUAAUUAAUUUAAUUAAUUAAUUUUAAUUUUUAAUUAAUUAACUUCUUGGUAUUAUAGUUUUCUUUCUUUCUUUCUUUCUUUUUCUUUCUUUCUUUCUUUCUUUUUCUUUCUUCCUUCCUUUCUUUCUUCCUUUCUCUUUCUUUCUUUCUCUUCCUUCCUUCCUUCCUUCCUUCCUUCCUUCCUUCCUUCCUUCCUUCCUUCCUUCCUUCCUUCCUUUUUCUUUCUUUCUUUCUUUCUUUCUUUCUUUCUUUCUUUCUUUCUUUCUUUCUUUCUUUCUUUCUUUCUUUCUUCCUUUCUUUCUUCCUUUCUUCCUUUUUGCGCCAUAGUAAAAGCAGCCCACUAUGAAAAACUGAAAAUGCAAUUGACAAUAAAAUAGGAUGUUAGUCUAAGCUGUCUGACUGUGACUGACAGAAUGAACUUUGGAAAGGUUCAUUUUCUUCUACAGCAUGAGAUGAAAAUUAAUUGUCAUCAUGUAGCUGCAAAUCCAGCCACUAUAAUUGCUAUUUCAUAAGGAUGCACUUAUUUUGAGAUGUUAAGUCCCUCUAAAAGAUGCUUAAGCUCACUGAAGGGCCAUUAAAAUUUGUCAACAUCACAUCACAGAGAUCUUGAUGAUUUUUUCUUCCUGUUGUUUCAGCUAAUAUGGCCUCACUGACCUCAGUUUCAUUUAAAUGUCACAUUCAGAUUAGAUCCAAAGCAUGGCUAAAUUCUGACCACCCACUUUAAUGUCAAAAUAUAUGGCAUGGCUGAUAUGACUCACAUUCAUAAGCAUAUUUUAUCAUUUUAAGUAGCCAGAGAAAUAGCUAAUUUUGUUUAGGAAGACAAAAAGGAGCCUGUAAUGGGAACCAACUGAGGACAGAUAUCCCAUGUGUCAGGAGUCCAGCUCAGAAAAGAGAGAAGCUGCAGAGAGCAGCAGCAUCUUUGACAGAGUAUUUCUUCUCCUAUGCUCAGGGAUAAGACAGUGUAAUUUGACACAAACUAAGAGAGAGUUUAUCAUUUUACAACAACAAUUUCUGUAAAUGAGUAAAAGCUUGCAUAUCUAAGAGAAAAGGAUAGAUACUGCAUGCGUAGCAAAGGUUAACUUAGCUGCUCUGCCAGCACAUGCAAAGUAUCCUUUGUCCUGGCAGGCAGAGCUUAUGAGCAAAGUACUUUUCUAACCAGAUAUAUACUGACACAUUUGAUUUCCUCUGCUUACUUCAAAAUCCAGCUUUUUGCUUCUAGUCUAGGUUCCAGCUACUAGCAGUCAACAGGCUGUCUGGCCAAUCCUCAAGUGAAAACAGUCACAGGUCAGAUCCCUGCAAAAUGGAGUCUUUAAACUAAUAAGGUUUAUAAGAUAACAAUUGCAAGCCCUGCUUAGUUUUCCUAAAAGCCUUCUGUCU